CAUUUGUUUAGAAAAGUAAGAAAGGUAAGUUUCAAAAACCUAAAACUGUGAAGGGAAAGUUGGUUGAAGACCAAUAGAAAACUCUCAUUAAUGACACUCUGGAAACUCAAGAAAAAUUAAUUAUGAUGAAUGUAAUAGAGAAAUUAGAAAGAGAAACAUAAGAUGGAAAGGUGGCUUUCAGAAACUGGCACUGGCACAUGCCAAAGAACUUAGGAGAAUGUAUUCUAGAAGCCAGGGGGAGAAAAAGAAGAGUUAACAAAUAGGCAACUGUCACUUGGUCCUGGAUCUUGGUCUUGGACUGGCACUGAGAUCAUGUUCCUACCCAAACAGAGGGAGGAAGAGCUGCUUCUAUGAGCUUUCCUAUCUCUCUCUUUGGGAGAACAAAGGACAACCCUUAAAUCCUUCCCUAUGGUUCCUGAUCAGCUGAAGAGCAAUCUGGAGCAGAUCUGACUAUCCCCACUGUCUGAUGGCUUUCUGAGACAGGGAAAGAUGUAUUAGCAAUUACAGGUAGUCUACAAACAAAUGAUAUUAAUAAACUUUUAAAGACUAUGAAUGGAAGAUGGAAGCAAGGGAAAACUAUGGAAGAUGACUACCAAAGAAGAGCAUUCUUACAAAAAUAAUGGCAAGAGUCCUGAUGCAGAGAAUGAGCUGAUGCUUACAUAUGGUGCCCCACUAUGGAAGUGAUGAAAAGCCC
rnacentral:lncRNA from 1 species